rnacentral:lncRNA from 1 species
GCAGUGCACACUCAGCUUAUACAGGCAUACAGUGUUUGAGUUUCCCUAGUGUUGUGGUCUCCGAAGUGGAUCCCAUCCUUCCAAGGUCAGAAUCCUUCACUGCAGUGAUUGGAAUCUCUUCACUGAACCUAGGGUCUUCUUGUUGCCGAGCAGUGCACCAUGUGGCAAGGAUGCUCUUGUUGCACAGGGAGGCCUAUUCCCUGCCAUCAGACCCCACUGGAAUGGACACUGUUCUUGAACUAGGCUGCACAGGUAAUGAUGGAAACUCUCUCACACAGCUGGUGUGACACCUCCUCAGGCUGCUACAUACCAUGCCUGGCCCAGGGGCUGCACCCAGAUGACUUCAGCAUAUCCCAUCAUAUCCUUUGUCCUCCUCCUUUGAGAAGUGGUCUUUCCUGUUUCAGAACUGCUGUUAAAGUCUGGCAGUUCCAGACUGGUAUUUUCCCCCUUCAUUUCAUUGUGGACUCCAGGCUCCUCCUAUAACCUCAGUCUCCUGGUGAGAUCAUGGUGCAUCCUCUCAGAGGCACGGCUCUUUCCAGGCAAGGGAAGAAGCUGGAUAGAACUUCUGGCUGAUGCAGGGGAAGGUGAAUGAACAUGACAGGAUGUCUGGAGCCACGGCCUGGGAGGACAUAAAGCACAGCAACAGGGAACCUUGGAGACAAGACCAGCAAACUUACAGAUGGGCUGCUUGUGGAGAAGAUGUACUUUGAGGAACUCAACAUUGUGCUAAUCCUAAAACUGGAUAAAGAUAAUAGAAGAAGGCAGACAGGCAGGUCUGCCCAUGCCCUACUGAGGUCCCAAGUGGCACAGAACAUGCUGAAUCACCCCGCUGCAGACAGGCAGCCACCUACUUCCACACUACAAAGAUGCAGAGGACACCAGACCACCAGACCAAGGUAAUGAGUCCCUCUGCUCCAGGCCCAGAGGUAGGGGCUUCUGAGCCAUCGUCCCACUGCUAAUGGUCCAGAGGACGGGGCUUCCCAGUCACCAUCCCUCCUGCUGCUCCCAGCCCACAGGAAAGGACUUUUCAGCCACCUUUGGUCCCACUGCUCCUGGC